rnacentral:rRNA from 1 species
UACGUAGGGUGCAAGCGUUAAUCGGAAUUACUGGGCGUAAAGCGUGCGCAGGCGGUUCUAUAAGACAGAUGUGAAAUCCCCGGGCUCAACCUGGGAACUGCAUUUGUGACUGUAGAGCUGGAGUACGGUAGAGGGGGAUGGAAUUCCGCGUGUAGCAGUGAAAUGCGUAGAGAUGUGGAGGAACACCGAUGGCGAAGGCAGCCUUCUGGGCCAACACUGACGCUCAUGCACGAAAGCGUGGGGAGCAAACAGG